rnacentral:rRNA from 1 species
AUGUUAAUUUAUAAAAAUUUUUUAUGUUAAUAAAUAUAAUAAUGUAUUUAAUGGAUAUCUAGAUAUAUUUUAAUAAAAGACGUUUAUUAUGACGAAAAGAUUUAUGGUAAAUUUGAUUAAAUUAAUAUAAAUCGUUCUUUUUUUUGAAAAAAAUUUAAUUAAAUUUUAAAAAUUAACGUUGUGAAUUGAAACAUCUUAGUAACAAUAGGAAUAAAAAUCAAUAGAGAUAUAAUUAGUAGUGGUGAGCGAAAAUUAUUGUAAGCUAUUCAAUUAAUUUAAUUUAUUAAAAUAAUUUUAAAUUUAAUUAAUUUUAAUUAAUUAAAUUUAAAAUUAGAAUUCCAUAGAAGGUAAUGAGUCCUGUAAAAUUAAACUUUUAGAGUUUUUUAAAAUUAAUAAUAUAUUAAUAUUAAUAUAUUUAUAAUAUUAAAAUUUAUAAAAACGAAUUAAUUGAAUUAAAAUAAAUUUGAGUAAAGCAAAAUUCAUUUUUUGUUUGAAUAAGGGAGAACCAUCUUCAAAACAAAUAAAUAUUUAAAAUAUAUCAAUAGAGAAUAGUACUGUGAAGGAAAGAUGAAAAAGAACCUUUAUAAUAUAUAUGGAGUGAAAUAGAACUUAAAAUUAAAUACAUAAAAGCGAUUGAAGUAACUUUAAAAUAUGUUAUAACAAUGUACCUUUUGUAUAAUGGGUCAGCGAGUUAAUAUAAUUAGUAAUUUUAAAAUUUUUGAAAGAUUUUAAAAGAUAGCGAAAGCGAGUUUUAAUUAAGCAUUAAUUAAUUAUAUUAUUACCCGAAACCGGAUGAUCUAAACAUGUUUAGAUUAAAUAAAAAAAUUUUAUAAACUUUUAUAUUAAUUUAUUUUAAUUAUAUAAAAAAUAUUUAUAUUUAAUUAUAAUGGAUCGAACUCGUGUAUGUUGCAAAAUACUGGGAUGAAAUGUGUUUAGGGGUGAAAGGCUAAUCAAAUUCGGAUAUAGCUGGUUUUCUACGAAAAUUAUUUACGUAAUGCAUUAAAAUUUAUAACAUAGGGUAAAGCACUUGAUAACUAAAGAAAGGGGUCAUUAAAAACUUCGCUGAUGUUUCUUAAACUUUGAAUAUAUGUUAUAUAAUAAUUUUAAUAGGCAGAUUAUGAGUGCUAAGAUUCAUAAUCAAAAGGGAAAAAGCCCAGAUUUUAAAUUAAGGUUUUUAAAUUAUAAUUUAUGGUUGAAGCUUAAAAUAUAUAAAGACAACCAAGAGGUAGGCUUAGAAGCAGCCAUCCUUUAAAGAAAGCGUUCAUGCUCAAUGGUCGAGUAUUUAUUUAGGCAGAAAUUUGUGAAGCUUUAGUUAUAUACCGAAAUUAAAAAAUUGAUAAAAUUGGUAGUAGAACGAAUAAUAUUAAUUUAUGAGAAAAAUUGUUAAAUUUUUUAUUAAAUUUAUUUUGAGAAUGUUGACAUGAGUAACGAAUAAAUAAUGAGUUAAUUUUUAUUAUCAUUAUCACCGUAAAUCUAAAGGUUUCAACGUUAAGUUAUACUUCGUUGAGUUAAUCGGUCUCUAAAUUUUUUAUUGAUAAAUAAAAAUGAUGAGUAUUUUUUUUUAAUAAUAAAAAAAAUAAAUUAAGAGAAAAUUAAAUUAUUUAAAAGUAAUGUGAUUUUUUAAUAUAUUAAUUAUUUAAUAAUUUAAUUCAAGAAAUAUCUUAAUAAAUAAAAUAUUUUUAUAUUUUAUUUAAACCGUACUUAAACCGACACAGGUGGAUUAGUAGAGGAUACUAAGGUGAUUGGAAGAACAACUUUGAAGGAACUCGGCAAAUUAAUUCCGUAACAUUAGGAUAAGGAAUACUCAUAUUUAUUAUUUAAAUGAUAAAUAAAAAUAAUUAUAAAUAUGAAUGCAGUUUAAUUUAGUUGUAAAUUAAAUUUGUGUCACAGAAUAGGGUGUAGCGACUGUUUAAUAAAAACACAGGACUUUGCUAAAUAGUAAUAUGAUGUAUAAGGUCUGACGUCUGCCCGGUGAUGAAUAAUUAAUAGGAGAGAUAUUUUAUUUUGUUAAAAAUUUAAUUUAAUAAAAUGUUUUGAAUAUAAGUGUCAUUAAACGGCGGCCGUAACUAUAACGGUCCUAAGGUAGCGAAAUUCCUUGUCAAUUAAGUAUUGACCCGCAUGAAUGACGUAACGACUUCACCACUGUCUCCAGAGUUGAUCCAGUGAAUUUGCAAUUUACGUGAAGAUGCGUAAUAUUUACGGCGGGACGGAAAGACCCCGUGCACCUUAACUAUAAUUUUAUAUUGAAAAGGGUAAUUUAGUAUGAAGAAUAAUUAGGAGUUUAUGAUCUAUGUAUUUUUUAUACAUUAGGGAGACAUACGUGCUAUACUAGUUAUUAAAUUAGUAUCUUUUCUAAUUUUUAAGAAAAAAAGUGUAUGAUUGGUAGUUUAGCUGGGGCGGCUUCCUCCAAAAGAGUAACGGAGGAGUACAAAGACAAUUUCAAUUUAAUGUCAAUUAAAUUUGUGAGCGUAAUGGUAUAAAAUUGUUUAACUGUAAGAUUUACAAAUCAAACAGAGAUAAUAGUUCGUCAUAGUGAUCCAGUAACACAGAAUGGAAUGGUUAUCGCUCAACGGAUAAAAGGUACGCCGGGGAUAACAGGCUGAUUGUCCUUGAGAGCCAUAUCGACGGGAUAGUUUGGCACCUCGAUGUCGACUUAUCACAUCCUGGAGUAGUAGGGGAUUCCAAGGGUUCGGCUGUUCGCCGAUUAAAGUGGUACGUGAGCUGGGUUUAGAACGUCGUGAGACAGUUCGGUCCCUAUCUGCCGUAAAUGAUAGAAAAUUGAUAAAAUCUGAUUUUCGUACGAGAGGAGCAAAAAGGAAAAACCUAUUGUGAAUUUGUUGUAUUAUAUUUGAUGCAUAGCAAAGUAGCUACGUUUUAGUAAAUAACUACUGAAAGCAUAUUAAGUAGGAAGUUACUUUUGAAAAAAUUUUCUAA